CAGAACGAACGCUGGCGGCAGGCUUAACACAUGCAAGUCGAGCGCCCCGCAAGGGGAGCGGCAGACGGGUGAGUAACGCGUGGGAAUCUACCCAUCCCUACGGAACAACUCCGGGAAACUGGAGCUAAUACCGUAUACGCCCUUCGGGGGAAAGAUUUAUCGGGGAUGGAUGAGCCCGCGUUGGAUUAGCUAGUUGGUGGGGUAAUGGCCUACCAAGGCGACGAUCCAUAGCUGGUCUGAGAGGAUGAUCAGCCACACUGGGACUGAGACACGGCCCAGACUCCUACGGGAGGCAGCAGUGGGGAAUAUUGGACAAUGGGCGAAAGCCUGAUCCAGCCAUGCCGCGUGAGUGAUGAAGGCCCUAGGGUUGUAAAGCUCUUUCAACGGUGAAGAUAAUGACGGUAACCGUAGAAGAAGCCCCGGCUAACUUCGUG
rnacentral:rRNA from 1 species